rnacentral:rRNA from 1 species
GUUAAGCGACUAAGCGUACACGGUGGAUGCCCUGGCAGUCAGAGGCGAUGAAGGACGUGCUAAUCUGCGAUAAGCGUCGGUAAGGUGAUAUGAACCGUUAUAACCGGCGAUUUCCGAAUGGGGAAACCCAGUGUGUUUCGACACACUAUCAUUAACUGAAUCCAUAGGUUAAUGAGGCGAACCGGGGGAACUGAAACAUCUAAGUACCCCGAGGAAAAGAAAUCAACCGAGAUUCCCCCAGUAGCGGCGAGCGAACGGGGAGCAGCCCAGAGCCUGAAUCAGUGUGUGUGUUAGUGGAAGCGUCUGGAAAGGCGCGCGAUACAGGGUGACAGCCCCGUACACAAAAAUGCACAUGCUGUGAGCUCGAUGAGUAGGGCGGGACACGUGGUAUCCUGUCUGAAUAUGGGGGGACCAUCCUCCAAGGCUAAAUACUCCUGACUGACCGAUAGUGAACCAGUACCGUGAGGGAAAGGCGAAAAGAACCCCGGCGAGGGGAGUGAAAAAGAACCUGAAACCGUGUACGUACAAGCAGUGGGAGCACGCUUAGGCGUGUGACUGCGUACCUUUUGUAUAAUGGGUCAGCGACUUAUAUUCUGUAGCAAGGUUAACCGAAUAGGGGAGCCGAAGGGAAACCGAGUCUUAACUGGGCGUUAAGUUGCAGGGUAUAGACCCGAAACCCGGUGAUCUAGCCAUGGGCAGGUUGAAGGUUGGGUAACACUAACUGGAGGACCGAACCGACUAAUGUUGAAAAAUUAGCGGAUGACUUGUGGCUGGGGGUGAAAGGCCAAUCAAACCGGGAGAUAGCUGGUUCUCCCCGAAAGCUAUUUAGGUAGCGCCUCGUGAAUUCAUCUCCGGGGGUAGAGCACUGUUUCGGCAAGGGGGUCAUCCCGACUUACCAACCCGAUGCAAACUGCGAAUACCGGAGAAUGUUAUCACGGGAGACACACGGCGGGUGCUAACGUCCGUCGUGAAGAGGGAAACAACCCAGACCGCCAGCUAAGGUCCCAAAGUCAUGGUUAAGUGGGAAACGAUGUGGGAAGGCCCAGACAGCCAGGAUGUUGGCUUAGAAGCAGCCAUCAUUUAAAGAAAGCGUAAUAGCUCACUGGUCGAGUCGGCCUGCGCGGAAGAUGUAACGGGGCUAAACCAUGCACCGAAGCUGCGGCAGCGACGCUUAUGCGUUGUUGGGUAGGGGAGCGUUCUGUAAGCCUGCGAAGGUGUGCUGUGAGGCAUGCUGGAGGUAUCAGAAGUGCGAAUGCUGACAUAAGUAACGAUAAAGCGGGUGAAAAGCCCGCUCGCCGGAAGACCAAGGGUUCCUGUCCAACGUUAAUCGGGGCAGGGUGAGUCGACCCCUAAGGCGAGGCCGAAAGGCGUAGUCGAUGGGAAACAGGUUAAUAUUCCUGUACUUGGUGUUACUGCGAAGGGGGGACGGAGAAGGCUAUGUUGGCCGGGCGACGGUUGUCCCGGUUUAAGCGUGUAGGCUGGUUUUCCAGGCAAAUCCGGAAAAUCAAGGCUGAGGCGUGAUGACGAGGCACUACGGUGCUGAAGCAACAAAUGCCCUGCUUCCAGGAAAAGCCUCUAAGCAUCAGGUAACAUCAAAUCGUACCCCAAACCGACACAGGUGGUCAGGUAGAGAAUACCAAGGCGCUUGAGAGAACUCGGGUGAAGGAACUAGGCAAAAUGGUGCCGUAACUUCGGGAGAAGGCACGCUGAUAUGUAGGUGAAGUCCCUUGCGGAUGGAGCUGAAAUCAGUCGAAGAUACCAGCUGGCUGCAACUGUUUAUUAAAAACACAGCACUGUGCAAACACGAAAGUGGACGUAUACGGUGUGACGCCUGCCCGGUGCCGGAAGGUUAAUUGAUGGGGUCAGCGCAAGCGAAGCUCUUGAUCGAAGCCCCGGUAAACGGCGGCCGUAACUAUAACGGUCCUAAGGUAGCGAAAUUCCUUGUCGGGUAAGUUCCGACCUGCACGAAUGGCGUAAUGAUGGCCAGGCUGUCUCCACCCGAGACUCAGUGAAAUUGAACUCGCUGUGAAGAUGCAGUGUACCCGCGGCAAGACGGAAAGACCCCGUGAACCUUUACUAUAGCUUGACACUGAACAUUGAGCCUUGAUGUGUAGGAUAGGUGGGAGGCUUUGAAGUGUGGACGCCAGUCUGCAUGGAGCCGACCUUGAAAUACCACCCUUUAAUGUUU